GUAUUGAUUGCGUGUGACCGCAAAAGAAACAUUCUACACUGUAUCGAGUUUUAUGUGAAAACGCAAGCCCUCCCGCAAAGGGGACCCACGCGGUGAUGCACAAAGGUGAGAUGGAUUGUGUGAGAGUGCUCGGGCGUGCACAACCUUUAAAAGGUCAGCGACAGCCCUUGCACCUCGGUUAUACAAUAAUGAUCCUUCCGCAGGUUCACCUACGGAAA
rnacentral:misc_RNA from 1 species